AGGGUGAACCUGCGGAGGGAUCAUUACCGAGUUUACAACUCCCAAACCCCUGUGAACAUACCAAUUGUUGCCUCGGCGGAUCAGCCCGCUCCCGGUAAAACGGGACGGCCCGCCAGAGGACCCCUAAACUCUGUUUCUAUAUGUAACUUCUGAGUAAAACCAUAAAUAAAUCAAAACUUUCAACAACGGAUCUCUUGGUUCUGGCAUCGAUGAAGAACGCAGCAAAAUGCGAUAAGUAAUGUGAAUUGCAGAAUUCAGUGAAUCAUCGAAUCUUUGAACGCACAUUGCGCCCGCCAGUAUUCUGGCGGGCAUGCCUGUUCGAGCGUCAUUUCAACCCUCAAGCCCCCGGGUUUGGUGUUGGGGAUCGGCGAGCCCUUGCGGCAAGCCGGCCCCGAAAUCUAGUGGCGGUCUCGCUGCAGCUUCCAUUGCGUAGUAGUAAAACCCUCGCAACUGGUACGCGGCGCGGCCAAGCCGUUAAACCCCCAACUUCUGAAUGUUGACCUCGGAGCAGGUAUGAAAAACCCCGGCCC
rnacentral:rRNA from 1 species